rnacentral:snRNA from 1 species
AGGAAGUAGGCUGAUCUGGCUGUAAAUGUCACCUACAGCCUGCCAGAGCUGACCAGCUACUCUGGCUGGCUAGGUGGGUAUCCUCUUUUUCCCUCUUUGCCCUGUGAGUCUUCACUCUUGCAGAGAAUGACUUUUUCCAGUAGUGGAACCAUUCCCUAGUCUAGUCUCUCUCUUGCUAGAACUUCCAAAGUGGUUUUUAAGAGCUAGCUAGAAUAUGGCAAAGCCAGCAGUGCUAGCCAUGUAAACACAUAGACAAAGCUCUGAGGCUGGGU